GCGUAGCUAAUGGGACUUUAACUACCCGCCGUGCGAGCCAAACGGUUCACGUCCCAGAAGUUAUUGUUUUCAUUAGCGUUUACGACGGAAGCUGGCACAGCGGUCGAUCGUGAUAAAAACGGCGCAGAAAUGAAAAGUCGUCCUAUUGUAAACAAAACGUGUAUCCAAACUACAGCCAAAUGUCGUCCGUAAGUCUAAUUCGCUUUAUCAUUCUUUUGGCCCUGGUCGGCAUUGCAUACUCCCAAGCGUUGGAGAGAUUUGCACACAUGUACCGAGGACCAGUAAUAGACUGUGAGGAAAUCUCCGGUUACAUGGAAAAACUGAGAGAUUUUUUCAACGGUGAAUGCGACCAACUAGAUGAAGGAUGUCCGUGGAAAAUUCGUAAAGCCAUCAAAUGGUACGGGCGAGUUGCCAAGCAGAUCAAUAAGAUGUGUAAUGGUCAAUUUUAAUAAAUAGCUUAAUGUACUUUGAAUUCAAAUUUACAACGCAAUAAUAAAAUCUUAUAACGAGA